UGAAGCGACUUAGCAGCAGCAGCAACAGUAGCAUUUAAUAAGUUCUGACUGAAGUCACAAAAAAAGUCACAAGUUUUCCACCAAAUGAUGAUGUGGAAAUGGUGAACCUAACCCCAGGGCCCCCUGACCAUACCCCUUCAUGUAGGAAUCACCCCCUGCCAUCUGAGAGCCCCUGCCCACUGUCCCUCAACCCUCUGCAAACAGUAGCUAUUAUGAGUUCACUCUGCCUGGAUGGCUUCUGGGAAGUGCCCUCAAAGCUGACAAUUAAAGGGAGCCUUUCAUUUAAACCCCACUGGCUGGGGACAUCCUCUUCAUCUCUGAGCCCUGUGUCUAGGGGUUUUCUCAGUGUCGACCGGGAGCAGGCAGGGAGGGGCAAAAGGUCCAUUGUUGAAGAGGACUCUCCCUGCCCAGCAGGCCCAGCAUGAGAGUCCUGGGCUUGUUCUCCAGGUCAGGCAGGAAGAGAUGCCCGGCCCCAACCCAGCCUCGGCCCAGCCCUGCUUCGGAAAUGGUCAGCACUGCCAGGCCUUUGGCCAGGUCAUGGCCGUCCGUGGGAAAGUGGGCUGCCUCAUCCUCUGGCUUCGCUUGUCCUUGGAUCUCUCCCAGUGCCUUUGAGAGAAGAUGAAAGAACCUGGGAGCUCCCGUACCUGGAGAAGUCGUGUCUUCUCAUCCCCAUUCCCCAGCAGCACUCUCCUCCUCUACCCUCCAUCUCCCUGUCCAGCUUCAUCCCGGCCACUGCAGCAGCCUCCUCUUGGAGCUCCCUGAGCACACUCCACCUUCUACAGUCUGUUCCCCUGGUGCGGCCAGAGGACCCAGGAGACCAUUGAAUCAGACCCCAGCCCUGCUUACAGUCUUCCUUAACUUCCCAUUGUAUUUAGAAUAAAAUUCACUAUAUGGCCCCACUGCACUUAGAAUAAAAUAAAAACUUCUUUUCAGGCAAA